rnacentral:lncRNA from 1 species
CUACUUUCUCCUAUGAUCGGAAGGCUAUGAGGAUCUAUCCAAUUUGAUUACUACACUAAUCAAAUUUUAAAUUAAUUAUUUAGAUCAAAUCUAAAUAAUUAAAAUCAAAUUAAAAUUAGAUUAUAUGCAAAACAUUCAUAUCAAAAGCAACAAAGCUUUGAUACCAGUUGAAGGAAAAUAGGCAAUUCAAAACAUGCAUUUUUAAUUUUUUUUAUAGCGAA